rnacentral:rRNA from 1 species
AUUGAACGCUGGCGGCAUGCCUAACACAUGCAAGUCGAACGCGAAAGUCCUUCGGGGCGAGUAGAGUGGCGGACGGGUGAGUAAUGCGUGGGAAUCUACCUGGUAGUGGGGGACAACCCGGGGAAACUCGGGCUAAUACCGCAUAUGUCCUACGGGACAAAGGGGGCCUCUGCUUGCAAGCUCUCGCUACCAGAUGAGCCCACGUCCGAUUAGCUAGUUGGUAGGGUAAAGGCCUACCAAGGCGACGAUCGGUAGCUGGUCUGAGAGGAUGGCCAGCCACACUGGGACUGAGACACGGCCCAGACUCCUACGGGAGGCAGCAGUGGGGAAUAUUGGACAAUGGGCGCAAGCCUGAUCCAGCAAUGCCGCGUGUGUGAAGAAGGCCUGCGGGUUGUAA